UACGUAGGGUGCAAGCGUUGUCCGGAAUUAUUGGGCGUAAAGAGCUCGUAGGCGGUCUGUUGCGUCCGCUGUGAAAACUCGGGGCUUAACCCCGAGCCUGCAGUGGAUACGGGCAGACUAGAGGUAGGUAGGGGAGAAUGGAAUUCCUGGUGUAGCGGUGAAAUGCGCAGAUAUCAGGAAGAACACCUAUGGCGAAGGCAGCUCUCUGGGACGGUACUGACGCUGAGACGCGAAAGCGUGGGGAGCGAACAGG
rnacentral:rRNA from 1 species